GGAGGUUUUUAGGGUGAUGCACCCCGGAAUCGGGCUCCCUCCCCUCUGGUUCUGGGGUGCGUCACCCGAGAACCGCA
rfam:Myotis lucifugus cont2.48598, whole genome shotgun sequence.